GACGAACGCUGGCGGCGUGCCUAAUACAUGCAAGUCGAGCGAAGCGGCGGCUGGGUGAGUAACGCGUGGGUAACCUGCCCUUCAGUCUGGGAUACCAUUUGGAAACAGAUGCUAAUCCCGCUUACUAAAGGAUGGACUUGCGGUGCAUUAGCUAGUUGGUACGGUAACGGCUUACCAAGUCGAUGAUGCAUAUGCGAGGUGGGAGACUGGUAGGCCACAUUGGUACGGAGACAAGGCACAAACGCCGACGAGAUGCAGCAGUAGAGAAUCUUCCACAGUGGACGAAAUGCUGAUAAGUCUACGGCGGUGGAGUGAAGAAGGUUUUGGGAGCUUAAGGCUCUGUUGUUGGUGAAGCGGUAAUCAAACAGAAAGUCACGGCUAACUACGUGCCAGCAGCCGCGGUAAUAC
rnacentral:rRNA from 1 species